GUAGGUGGCAAGCGUUGUCCGGAAUUAUUGGGCGUAAAGCGCGCGCAGGCGGUUCUUUAAGUCUGAUGUGAAAGCCCACGGCUCAACCGUGGAGGGUCAUUGGAAACUGGAGAACUUGAGUACAGAAGAGGAAAGCGGAAUUCCGCGUGUAGCGGUGAAAUGCGUAGAGAUGUGGAGGAACACCAGUGGCGAAGGCGGCUUUCUGGUCUGUAACUGACGCUGAGGCGCGAAAGCGUGGGGAGCAAACAGGGAUUAGAUACCCUGGUAGUCCACGCCGUAAACGAUGAGUGCUAAGUGUUAGGGGGGGUUCCGCCCCCUUAGUGCUGCAGCUAACGCAUUAAGCACUCCGCCUGGGGAGUACGGCCGCAAGGCUG
rnacentral:rRNA from 1 species